rnacentral:tRNA from 1 species
GCCGAAGUGAGCUCAGUCAGUAGAGCAUGAGACUCUUAAUCUCAGGGUCAUGGGUUCGAGCCCCAUGUUGGGUG